UAUAGGGCUAAUGUCCUGACAGAAGGUUAGAGGGAUAAUGGCCUGACAGAAGGUUAGAGGGAUAAUUUCCUGACAGAAGGUUAGAGGGAUAAUUUCCUGACAGAAGGUUAGAGGGAUAAUUUCCUGACAGAAGGAUGGAGGGAUAAUGUCCUGACAGAAGGAUGGAGGGAUAAUUUCCUGACAGAGGAAGGAGGGAUAAUGUCCUGACAGAAGGAUAGAUGGAUAAUGUCCUGAUAGAAUGAUAGAGGGAUAAUGUCUGACAGAAUGAUAGAUGGAUAAUGUCCUGACAGAAGGAUGGAGGAUCAUGUCCUGACAGAAUGAUAGAGGGAUAAUGUCCUGACAGAAGGAUAGAGGGAUAAUGUCCUGACAGAAUGAUAGAGGAAUAAUGUCCUGACAGAAUGAUAGAGGGAUAAUGUCCCACAGAAGGAUAGAGGGAUAAUGUCCUGACAGAGGGUGGAGGAUAAUGUCCUGACAGAGGAUGGAGGGAUAAUGUCCUGA